rnacentral:rRNA from 1 species
UACGGGGGGGGCAAGCGUUGUUCGGAAUUACUGGGCGUAAAGGGCUCGUAGGUGGCCAACUAAGUCAGACGUGAAAUCCCUCGGCUUAACCGGGGAACUGCGUCUGAUACUGGAUGGCUUGAGUUUGGGAGAGGGAUGCGGAAUCCCAGGUGUAGCGGUGAAAUGCGUAGAUAUCUGGAGGAACACCGGUGGCGAAGGCGGCAUCCUGGACCAACACUGACACUGAGGAGCGAAAGCCAGGGGAGCAAACGGG